rnacentral:rRNA from 1 species
CCUACGGGUGGCAGCAGUGAGGAAUAUUGGUCAAUGGCCGGAAGGCUGAACCAGCCAAGCCGCGUGAGGGAGGAAGGCGCAGAGCGUCGCAGACCUCUUUUGCCGGGGGACAAAGGGCCGGACGGGUGCGGUUCUGAGGGUACCCGGAGAGAAAGCAUCGGCUAACUCCGUGCCAGCAGCCGCGGUAAUACGGAGGAUGCGAGCGUUAUCCGGAUUCAUUGGGUUUAAAGGGUGCGCAGGGGGGUCUUUAAGCCUGCGGUGAAAUGGCGGGGCUCAACCCCGCCGGGCCGUCGGAACUGGGGGCCUUGAGUGCGUCGGAGGCAUGCGGAAUGCGCGGUGUAGCGGUGAAAUGCAUAGAUAUCGCGCAGAACCCCGAUUGCGAAGGCAGCGUGCCGAGCCGCCACUGACGCUGAGGCACGAAAGCGCGGGGAUCGAACAGGAUUAGAUACCCCUGUAGUC